CCUUACCUGAGCCUUCAGGUCUUCGAUGGUCUUGAAAUAGUGGCCCCAGUCUCUGACGCCCUGGGGCCCCUUCUUCUCCAGAUGUUCCCGGAUUUUGAUCUCCAGCCUCCUGUUCUCAGUCUCCAGGCUCUUCACCUUGUCCAGGCUCUUUCCCAGGGCUGAUGGAAGAGGAAAACCCUACAUGCCUUCUCAGGAGCACCUGCCUGCCUGCCAGGGCUCUCCAGCUGGGAGUCUUAGAACCCUGCAUAGCACCAACUGCUGAGAGGAAUCGGGUAGAACUUGAGUAUGAUGCGAAGGAAAAGAACAGAAGUGACACAGACUGUCUAGUGACAUGGCUUAGCUAGGAAAGAUGCCUGCUGCCAAGCCUGAAGACCCGAGUUCAAUCCCCGGAACCAACGUGGUGGAAGAAGUUAACAAACUGCAAAUUGUCUUUCGACCUCCAUGUGUGUGAGCACUCACAAGUAAAUGUGUAUAAAUAGGAGAAUAAACAAGUGCCCGCCUGGUGGCCCAUGCCUUUAAUCCCAGUGCAUGAAAGU